UACGUAGGGUGCGAGCGUUGUCCGGAAUUAUUGGGCGUAAAGGGUGCGUAGGCGGUCUGACAAGUCUGAUGUGAAAUCUAUGGGCUCAACCCAUAGUCUGACAUCGGAAACUGUCGGGCUUGAGUAUGGGAGAGGUGAGUGGAAUUUCCGGGUGUAGCGGUGAAAUGCGUGAGAUAUCGGAAGGAACACCUGUGGCGAAAGCGGCUCACUGGACCAUACUGACGCUGAGGCACGAAAGCUAGGGGAGCAAACAGG
rnacentral:rRNA from 1 species